GCCCAAGUGGCGGAAUUGGUAGACGCGCUAGUUUCAGGGACUAGUUUCAGCAAUGAAGUGCAAGUUCGAGUCUUGUCUUGGGCA
rnacentral:tRNA from 2 species